UUUAGACAAAACAAUUCUCAAUUUUUCAAAAUGGAACAAUUAAGAUCUAAAUUAGAAGAAGUUAUCAUUUAUUUAAAACCGUAUUUACCUAUUGCUAAUAGCCAUGUAGUUAAUUUUAUUACUGAUAACUUUUGGGAAACUAUAAUACCCAGUAAUAUACGAGAAGAAAUUGAUUUAAAAGGUUCAGAAUUUGUGUUCACAAAUUUUUGGUCUGAAAAUCAAAUUCCUGAUUCCCUUACUCAAUUUGUUGCUUCUUCAAAGCUUAACAUCUUAAAUUCUUAUCCAAGUAGUUGUUAUAUGAAAUUAGAUAAUGCAUAUGAUGUACUUCAAUCUUGGGGAUAUAAUCCUAUUAAUAAAUCACUUAAUUUAAAAGAGUUUAUGGCUGCUAAAAAACUGCAUGAAGUAGAAGUUAUGGCCAAUUUAGUGGCAAAUUUUUCUACUUAUGCUGAUACGGACAUUAUAGUUGAUAUUGGCGGUGGCAAAGGAUAUUUGAGUUCACUAUUGGCUUUAGCUUACAAUUUCAAUGUACUUGGUAUUGAUUCACAAUCAAUCAAUUCUGAAGGUGCUAGAAAUCGAACAAUCAAAUUUGAGAAAUAUUGGCAGUCUAUAAAAAAUAAAUCAAACAAUUUUCCUGAAGAAAAAAUAACACUCCCGAUAAUAAAAGAAAAACUUAAUACUUAUGAAGAAUAUUAUGAAAAAUACAGCAGAAAAUCAGCUGUACUAGGUAGUACCUACAAACAAGUUACAGAAUAUGUUACUGAAAAUACCAACAUUGCACAAUUAGUACAAACUGAAUUUAAAGUAAAUAACAAAGAAGAAUUUACUUUAAUUGGACUACAUACAUGUGGUUCUUUAGCUACUACGUGUUUAAAGUUAUUUACUGAACCUAAAAAUAAUUUAAAACUAUUGGUCAAUGUUGGUUGUUGUUAUCAUUUAAUUGAAGAAGAAUUCACCAAUGAUUCAUUUUGGGAUGAUGUUGAAAUCGCAUUAAACAAGAAUGAAUCUUAUGGUUUUCCUGUAAGUAAUUGUCUAAAAGAAAAAAAAUUUGAACUCGGGCGUGAUGCUAGAAUGUGUGCAUCACAAUCACCAGAAAAAAUAUUUAAUUCUAAAGACAUAAUCAAUCCAACAAAACCAUUAUUCUACAGAGCACUAUUACAAGUCUAUUUAAUACAAGAACUUGGACAUGAAAAUAUUAGUAGAUGUCAUGUUGGACGAUUAGCACAUAAAUGUUUGACAUUUAAUGAAUAUGUGCAUAAAGCUGUGAAACGUUUACAAUUAAAUAUUGAGAUUGACAAUGAAAAAAUUAAUGCAUUUUAUGAUAAAUAUCUGAUUGAAUAUGAACGAUUGAAAGUAUUUUUUAUUUUAAAACAAGCAUUAGCUCCAGUUAUUGAAGGACUUAUAAUAAUGGAUAGAUUACUCUACCUUUAUGAGCAGACCGCUGGCUGCCGCACCAUAUCAUUCAUAGGAGGCUCUACAGCCGCGGGCUGCCGUAAAUUAAUUUAGAUUUAUAUUAUUAACUUUUCCAUAGUGCUACAAUAAUGAUCUAGAAAAUUCGCUGUAGCGUAGCAGGAAUAAUUGCAAUUUUUUGAUGUAAUUAACAUAAUUUUAACAUUUUUUUUUUCAAAUUCAAUAUAUGUACAAAUUUAUAAUGUCACUGAAAAAUAUCUUCGGCAUACCCAUGAUAAAUAUUCUUGUGGCCACGUGGCAACCAACGUGUUCAGUUUCUAUUAAAUCAGUAGUUCUCAAACUUUUUUAUGUGAAACAUAUAAUGGCGCGGUACAGUAGUGAGAUCGACUGUGGCGUGGCAAAACCUCCACUCAUGACUCGUUGGUUCAAUUCGCCGAAGUUCGGGAAUUAAUGAAGCUUUUGUUGCCAAACUUUUUGAUCCAUUAUUGUCACCUAGAAAUCAUGCAAUUAUUGCAUUAAAAAAAAAUUAAACUUAAAUAAAAA